rnacentral:misc_RNA from 1 species
AACGCACCUUGCGCUCCUUGGUAUUCCGAGGAGCAUGCCUGUUUGAGUGUCAUUAAAUUCUCAACCUCACCAGUUUUGUAACGAGACCGGUGAAGGCUUGGAUGUGGGGGUUUUGCAGGCUGCCUCAGUGCUGGUCUGCUCCCCUGAAAUGCAUUAGCGAGCUCAUAUUGAGCUUCCGUCUAUUGGUGUGAUAAUUAUCUACGCCGUGGAUUGGACUCAUGCUUGCUUCUAACCGUCCGCAAGGACAAUUUACUUGACCAAUUUGACCUCAAAUCAGGUAGGACUACCCGCUGAACUUAA